rnacentral:lncRNA from 12 species
AAUGCAAGAAUGAUGUGCAUAUUUAGUUUUAAAUAUUCAAAUUAACUUGAUUUGUACUAUUUGCAUAAAGAUUUCUGGUUUUAUUUUAAUAUUCAAAAACAUGUUUUCUGAAGUGCCCUUAGAGCUAAAACAAACAAAAAAAAUUUUUCUAAGUGUGUGUUCAGGGUUGUGAGAUGGGAGGAGAAGUCAGCAGAAAGGGUACAGGGCUAAUUUGUUUUUUUUUUUUUUUGGUUUUUGUUUUUUUUUCCCCAGAGGCUAUCAAAUUCUUCUGACUCUUAACGUUUACAUAAAAAAUAAAUUGGCAGGAUCAAUGUUCCAAGGGGCUGUCUUUAAGGACACUUCUGUGUCUGUGGGAAGAGUCGGACCUAAGGCUGAGUAACAUCAACUGUGAUGAUUAUGUAGCAGUGCGCGGAACUUCACAGAACUGGUAAAACUUUAGGGAGUUUGGUAAGCUAGCCAUGAAACACAGCCACUAUGGAAAAUCCAAUGAUAUACACCUAGAAUUAAAGACAAUUAUAUUAGAGACCAAGGUAAUAAAGGCUUAAAGUGCAUCACUGACUAUAGUCUUACCUUUUACUAUUAUGUAUUUUAUCCACAGGGUGGAUAUGUUGCCUAAUGUGCUACUGUGCGUGUCUUCCAAACUCGGCCUUCAGUGACAUCAUGUUGGCAGCUUAAAAAUCAGCCCACCCCGGGGCGGCGGGGAGGGGGAGGGGGGGUAUGGAAAUUGGCAUGGAAAUUGGCAAAUGCUACCAAUCAGGGCUGCUGACCCUACUCCCUCCUCCUCUCCACCAACAGGUAAGCAUUUAUCAGCUUGCCAAUGAUAUAAUAAUGAUGUUAACAUGGGCAAGAGGUCCUGGGAAACCUCUGCCUUACUAAUAAUGUCAAAUAAAGUGGAAAAGGAAAGCACGCUGACCUCAUUGAGGACGGACGCAGAGGCCAAGACCUCCAUUCUCAAGCCACGUGCACACAGAUGGCAGCGCUCUUCCAGGUUUUCCAGCCUGCUUGGAAAGAACAACUCUUCCUCCCACAAGAGGGAAAAUGCACUACGAGUGGACUUCAACACAUGAGGAAGCAUUUGGGAUGGGAGACCAUGAGAUGGUCCAAAGCUUCCUACCGAAUUCCUGGCCUCGGUCUCAAGACCUGCUUUGGAUGGACACAUGAUCCAUGGAGAAGGAUGUCAUGGUUUGGACUCAUGAUGAGCCAUCAUUGUGUUCAACUUCAGAUUCAGCUGUAAAAGGGAAUCAAGCUGAUUCUGUCAGUAGCCUCUUCUCACUGGAGUGGGUCAUCUCCAGAAAGUUCCACCAGCUGAAUGGACCAACGGUGGCAAAAGCUAUUGCUAGUUAGACGUUUGCCGUGAAAACUGGCUUAUGAUGGAGCAAUUGCUGUGCUGGAGGCUUUGUGGUUCCAGCUUCUAAUGAGACAAAAUUGCUUUGCUUAAUUAUAUUAUAUUACAUCGGUGGGAACUUGGGACAUGCUUCAGGUGGCUAGAAAGCAGGCCUGGAACUUUAAGCAACAAAUGCUUGGAUGAACUCAAGCAUUCUGGGUUUUCCUGUGCCUAAUAUGUUACAUUGCUAUGUUGAUAUGUAAUGUCACAGAUGGUAAUAUUAGUCAUGAAAGAACAAAGAAGCCAAGUUCAUAGCCAAAGGAAAGUUAAAAGGGGGGGACAAAAAGUGAACUUACCCUACAAACAGGUUUUUCUUAUUGAAAACAUCUUAAACACCAUCGGACACCUUCUCAAGAUCCAUGUGUUGGCACAAGCAGAUGGGGAAGACUAUAAAUCUCGGAAACUGGCUUAGCUCCCACUCAAGAACUAAAGCAAGGAGUGUGGUGAAAUCAAAUUCAGCAAUGAAUGGAUGAUCCUAAUUUAACAAUGGGCAGCCUUCCCACAAAUUCUCAUGCAAACCAGUGGUGGCUUCCUCUUUUUUUAAUUAACUACACAGCCUUUCCAACCAGAAGAUUUAAAUGUUUACUUCUGUUUGCUUUGCGUCAUUUGCAUUUCUUUCGAUUCUAAAAGCAAAUUAACCCCUUAGGCCUAGGGGGGCAUCCUUUUGAAGAAGCAGAAAAAAUUGGAAAAAAAAAAAUUAGGAAGUGAAACUCUCUACUCACUGCAGGUCUUCCCAUCUGACUCAAUAAGAUGGCUAGUAUUUUGAAUGACAACAAUGGCAGAGCAAUUUAUAUGCAAUGGACAGUGUUUCCUUGGGAAACUGGGAGGUAGAGAGCAAAAUCUAGAUUCA